GCUCCGCCGAACGAGCGGGGCUGGAGCGCCGCGGGCGGGAGGAGCCGCUCCGGGGCGGGCGCUGGGGCCGAGUCCGGACCGCGCCCGGUGCGGGACCGGGGCCCCGCCGGGCUCGGUCCUGCUCCAGCCACUCACCCGACACCUGCCGGGGGAGACUCGAUGCUCUCCCUCCCGUCCCCCUUCCUCUGUGGCUCGCACCCCCCAGUGGAAGAACACGGGGGUUUAAAAAGCCGGUGAAAGGUGUUUGUUCUUUAUUUUCAGAGCACAGGAGGUUCCGAGUUGGAAAGGGCCCCGAGGAUCAUCGAGUCAAACGGUGAUGAGCGAUUGGCCCACGUGGGGACUGAAUUCAGCAUCUUGGCCUUGUCAGCACCCUGCUCCAAGCACCUGAGCAACCUCAGGCUCAUGAGGAAGGUCCUGCCUGGGAUGAGGUGGCUGCUGCCAGCAAGGGAAUUCCUAUGUCAAUGUGGCUCCUUCCUUCCUGCUAGUCCUGCUCUGCACACCAGCCCCUAGACUGGCUCUAGAGCAGGACUGGCUGGUGUCUCACAGGACAGCACCAGACUCUUCAAUAACCUUGGUUUCCUGCUCUUUCCAGGAUUUACCACCAGCUGUAAAGGUGCUCAUUCCAUGUCCCUUUCCAAGGAGAAAUGAGCAGGACAAGCCCUGAGGGUUCACUUGGUCCGUGGCCAGAGUUCUUCAGGAGAGUGUCAGGGCUGGUCCCACCUGCAGAGGGGCGUUUCCUGCAGGUGAGUGUUCACAGCCCAAAAUCCCUGCAGGUGCUGGGGCUGGGGCCACUUUCCUGGCCCGGAGCUGCACGGAGCCCUUGGUGACUCCCACUCCCAGGUGGGAAUGUUCCUUGGUGUUUCCUCAGUGGUCCCAGCUGGCUGGGAAUGCGGGGCAGGAGGAGGCCGGGAGCCCAGGAAGGGACCCAGCACCUCCUGCCCUCGGUGUUUGCAGGGGAGGAGCUGUGCCUCAGUGUCCCGCCACACCCGCAUCCCGGGGAUGGGCAGCGCUGGGAUGGACGUGGAUCGAGGGCUGCCCGCGGCUCCUCGGCCAGGGGCUGCUCUGACGGGCUCCGGAGCUGCUUCAGCCCGGACAGACCCCGCCCGCAGCCCCAAAUUACCGAGGAACAGCUGGAACAUCUGGCUUUACCUGGGAAUGUCAGCGCGGUGCGUUUGAGGAGGGGCUCAGGCAGCAAUUCCCGGUGCCGACCUCCCGGAGCUCCUGCACACCCCCAGGUGUGUCCCAGCCCCCCAAACCCCUUCCCUCCCAGCCAGGGACAUCAUCCCUCAGCAGCGUUAAAGCCAGGGGGAUCUUCCCCCCAGAAAUGAAACCCCAAGCAAUGCCCUCAGGGAGGCCUGUAAAUAAAAGGUUAGAGUCAGGUGAGGUUUUGUUUGGAUGAAGUUUGGAGUGUUCCAGGGAGCCAGCUGGAACCACAGAACUGAUGGAAAACUCACAGGUGGGUCCCACUGGAGGUGUGCUGGAAGCAGGGAUGUGCAUCCCUUUCCUGAGGGAAAAGAACCUGCAGAGGCACUCCUGAGGCUCUGAGAUGGAGUCAGCUCCUGCAGGGAGAGAUGUCCUCCCCUGGGCACAGGGGCUGCCUCAGCACGGGCCAGGAGCCAUCACCUUCUCCUGCUUUAAAAUUUCAACUGGAGCCCGAGCUCAGGGGGAUGAAAUCAGCUGAAUUCCAGGGAACUCUGUCAAGUGUCCCCCAGGGACAUCAGUGGGGCUGGGGGAUGAGGUUUAUAAACAGCAAAUUCUAUGGAAUACAAACCUGUCCUUGUCCUGGAACCUCUGCUGGUUCCUGCCACAGCUGCUGUUCCACGGCAGCUCUGCAUGGGAAUGUCCAGACUCCACAAGGCACUGUUGGGUUAUUCCAGCAGGAAUUCAGCAGGGAAUUUGGGGCUGUGGGUAUAAUUCAUCUGAACCAGCAAAGCUGAUACUGACCCUGAGAUCUGGGUGCCACACCGAGAACAAUCCCUGUGCUGCCCUGUCAGCUAAAGCCCCUGGGCUGGGAAAUUCCAGCAGCCAAAUGCAUGGAAUGAUGGAAAUCCCAACAUCCCCCAGAGGGACAAUCCAAGCCCCAGGGUCCUUCCCCUGCUGCUGGCAGGACAAAUUGCCCUCAGCUCGGCGGGGCUUGGGAGCAGGAGGGGCGGGAGAGCAGCUCGGCUGCCCGGGAAGCGCCGGGACACACGAGGCUGCUGGAAUCUCCUGAGUCACUGCAAACAUUCCCUGUAAAGCCAAGGCAGAUCUCUCCUAGCCAGCCUGGUGGGCAACAGCUGGGCAGGGCCGAUCCCUCUGCAUUUGGGGCACUCUGGGGACAGCUGGGGACUCACCCCACACCAUGGGCAGGACCAGCAGUUCUGGAGCUUGUUGGGUUUGGCUGCUCAAACACCAAGGCUCUGGGCAAAGAUGGGAUGAGUUAAGUGUUUUUUCCUGUCCUGAAAGAGAAGAGAAAAUGGAAAUUAAGUCCACUGUGGAAGGCAAAGGCUCCUGGGUUUCCCACUUCUGUUCUGAUUGCUCACUAUGGGGUUUUAUCCAUAAAAAAUGAGAUGUGGCGCCAAAUAAAAGUGCCAUUUUUCAACUCUUGCCUUCUACUUUUUCCAUACACAAAAGGAUGCCCAUUUUUUCUCAAUGCAUUCUUUGCCUAAUUUUAACAGACCCAUUUUCAUUUCAGGCCCUGCUUGUGAGUCAUUCCAUGCUUUGCCAUUGGACUUUGGACAAAGGAGGGGAAGGAUCUGUUCCACAUAGGUGUCAUCCAAUGCUCGGCUCUAGUGCUUUCCUUGGGAAAGGAUGUACUGGAAUAAAAAAAGUAGUCCCGGCCCACAUGGUACCUACCCAGAGGAGGUCACUGCUCUGUUCCUGGCAGAGGGAGACCUGCUGGCAUCUGAGUGGCUCAAUACUGGGCCAUGUUGCAGCAACACGGGAGGGCUGGACUUGGUGCCUUCUCUCCUUUCCUGUUCUGAGAGCAGGAGCAGGUGGGCUUGCCCAGAAGCUGUGUGUAAGAGGAGAGAAGAGGACAUUUGUCAGGGCCCAACCAUGAUAAAGAUCCUUCUCAUAUCAACAGCAAAGUCAAAGAUUUUGAGGAAUGAUUGAUUUUUUUGAAUGAAUGAAUGACUGACUUUUGCCUGACUCAAUAUCCAACUGAUCAUUUACAGGACACUGAUAGUUCUACUAUUACCUGCAGUUUCCUGGAGCCAUGAAACAGCCAAACAGCCAAUACCUGCAGGAUGUUAUUCCCUGACAGCACAUUUGGAGAGAAAUAAACUGCAGGAUACUUUUGUCCAAGCAAACAGUUGCUUUCUUUCACCUGAGAGAGCUUUGAGGUGCCUCUUGGAGCUAUUUUGCUAAUCCUGGAUGCAGGGCAGCAUUCCCUGCAGUGGAAUGGAGUUCUCUGUGCCUGAGCUGGUUCUGUCCCACUGAGCCCCUGAGAGUGGCAGCACACAGCGUGAUAAUGUGGCUUUGCUGAUGUCUGCACUAAAUUCCUGUGUGGCAUCUGCUGUCACUACAAGGAGAGACAGAUCUGCUCGACUGACCACAGGCUUGGGGCUUUCAGUUGUCAAGAUGAUCCAGCUGAGGUAACAAGCGACUUGGAUGUUCAAAGAGUUCUUCCUAAUGUCCCUCAUAAAAGCUGAAGUAAACUGCUACGAAGUAAAUGAACAUUUAAUCAGUUACUGACUAUAGUAGUAAAAGGUGGGAGGAUAGCAGUGUGUCCCAGAAGGAUUCCUGUUUGGGCUUGUAGAUUUAUUAAGAGCUUAAGUAGAACGGUGGCAGUUGAUUAUUUAAUAAGUUACUUAGGAUCACAGAAGUGUGAAACACCUGCAAAAGUACCUUACAGAGUUCUGACUGGUCUCCUUGCCCUCAGGGACAGCUCCCUGCCCACCAGGACCCCCAGGCCCUUCUCCUCAGGGCUGCUCUCCAGCAGGUGACCCCCAGCCUGUCCUGGUGCCUGGGGUUAUUCUUCCCCAGGUGCAGGACGCUGCAUUUGCCUUUUCUGGAUUUCAGACAGCCCCUCUGGCCAUGCCUCCACCCUGCUGAGGUCCUUGGGAAGGGCUGUGCAGCCCCAGGGGGACUGGCUGCUCCCCCCAGCUCUGUGCCACCACUGACCCCUUCACCCAAGGCACUGAUGAAUAUAUUGAACAAUUAAUCCUGGGGGACACACUGGUGCUGGGCCCCCAGCCAGACCCUGGCUGAACCAGGGCUGAACCAGUGGGAUCUGCUGUUCAGCAGGUGUUGAUGGGGGAGAGGAGAGAAAACCUUCAGCCAGCUGUCACAAACAGCACUGCAUUAAUCACUGCCAGUCAGCAAGGCAGGAAAUAAAAAUAAAAAUUCAGAUACUAUAUUUAAAAAGAAAUAAAAAGCUUAACUGCUCACCCACGCUAUCUGAGACUUGACAACACCACAGAAAGCAGCAUCACAGUGGACUCUGUACAGCCAUAAAUACAGUUUCCUCUUCUUCCAUGAAGAUUCUGCUGGAAUGUUUUGCCAAGAAUUCCUGUGCAUAGCAACUCCCUUUUUUGUUCAUGGCACAAUGUCACUCUCCUGCUUGUGGCUCUUUUACACAAUGCAGGUUUUGUCACCACAAAUUGCAAUGAAAUGCACAGAUUAUUUGUGUUACGACAUAAAUUGAAAUAGUAAAAGGUGCAUUCUGUGUAUUUAAGAGAUUAACAGAUUUUAUUGUUUUCUAAAAUAUUUUACAAUACAGAGACCCAAACCAGUAAUUCCUGACAAUUUUAGCAACUGUCCUGUGGAUGAACAAACAUAUUGGUAAGUUUUUGUUGACAGACAUAUACAUACAUCCACUUUCUAAGCUUGCACAUUUGGAUUCACUGAAAAUGACAACUAAAUAUACCUAUAAGCUCAAAAAGCAAACUAUAAAGUCCAAGAUUACCAACAGUGUUUUAUAGUUACCUUGGAAAAGAUUUGUUAGCUUCAUUACAGUGUAGCUUCCUAACAUGGCAUAUCCACUUACCUGAUACUUAGUUUUAAUACAGAUCUGCUGUAGUUUUACAACCCAGUUUUCAAUGUCACAAGUGCAUAUUUGACACGAUUACAGCUGGCCAAGUUGUAACUGCAAACAAAUGUAGAUUUUACAGUGUUCUGCUACAAUAAUCCAUGUUUGGACUAAAGCUAGUUUAUACUUUGACUCAUUAAUUUAUCCACAAAUACUGAUUUUGAGUAUAUUAGUGUAUUUACCGUACUUCUGAAAAAUCUAAUCACAGAAUACUUUGUCUAUGGUACAGUAAUGGAUAUGGCAGGAAAGCAGA